rnacentral:rRNA from 1 species
GACGAACGCUGGCGGCGUGCUUAACACAUGCAAGUGGAGCGACGAACCGGGGCUUGCCCCGGGGCAAAGCCGCGAACGGGUGAGUAACACGUGGGUAACCUGCCCUGUUGCUUGGGACAACCCCGGGAAACCGGGGCUAAUACCACAUGUGCUCCUUCCACAUCAGUGGAUUGAGGAAAGCAGGCUUCGGCCUCCGCAACGGGAUGGGCCCGCGGCCCAGUAGCUUGUUGGUGGGGUAACGGCCCACCAAGGCUCCGAUGGGUAGCUGGUCUGAGAGGACGAUCAGCCAAACUGGUACUGAGACACGGCCCAGACUCCUACGGGAGGCAGCAGUGGGGAAUCUUGCGCAAUGCGCGAAAGCGUGACGCAGCAACGCCGCGUGAGGGAAGAAGGCCUUCGGGUUGUAAACCUCUUUCAGUUGGGACGAAGCCUCGGCGGUGAAUACCCGUCUGAGGUGACGGUACCUUCAGAAGAAGCCCCGGCUAACUACGUGCCAGCCGCCGCGGUAACAC